rnacentral:rRNA from 1 species
AAUAUUGCACAAUGGGGGAAACUCUGAUGCAGCAACGCCGCUUGAAGUUUGUAGGUUUUCGGCUCGUAAACGUCUAUCAGUCGGGACGAAAUAAAUGACGGUACCUAACUAAGAAGCCCCGGCUAUCUAGGUGCCAGCAGCCGCGGUAACACGUAGGGGGCAAGCGUUAUCCGGAAUCACGGGGUGUAAAGGGUGCGUAGGCGGCAAUGUAAGUCAGAUGUGAAAUCCCGGGGCUCAACCCAGGGCGUGCAUUUGAAACUGCAUAGCUAGAGUGCAGGAGAGGAAAGUGGAAUUCCUAGUGUAGCGGUGAAAUGCGUAGAUAUUAGGAGGAACACCAGUGGCGAAGGCGACUUUCUGGACUGUAACUGACGCUGAUGCACGAAAGCGUGGGGAGCAAACA